UGGGGAAUAUUGCACAAUGGGCGAAAGCCUGAUGCAGCGACGCCGCGUGCGGGAUGAAGGCCUUCGGGUUGUAAGCCGCUUUUGAUUGGGAGCAAGCGAGAGUGAGUGUACCUUUCGAAUAAGCACCGGCUAACUACGUGCCAGCAGCCGCGGUAAUACGUAGGGUGCAAGCGUUAUCCGGAAUUAUUGGGCGUAAAGAGCUCGUAGGCGGUUUGUCGCGUCUGGUGUGAAAGUCCAUCGCUUAACGGUGGAUCUGCGCCGGGUACGGGCAGGCUAGAGUGCGACAGGGGAGACUGGAAUUCCCGGUGUAACGGUGGAAUGUGUAGAUAUCGGGAAGAACACCAAUGGCGAAGGCAGGUCUCUGGAUCGUCACUGACGCUGAGGAGCGAAAGCGUGGGGAGCGAACAGGAUUAGAUACCCUGGUAGUCCACGCCGUAAACGGUGGAUGCUGGAUGUGGGGCCCAUUCCACGGGUUCCGUGUCGGAG
rnacentral:rRNA from 1 species